rnacentral:sRNA from 1 species
CUAAGGGGAAGUUCGGUUAAAAUGCGACGUCCUGGGACUGCGGUUACUCGCCCCACCCGAAAACCUUUGUCGCAACACCGAACUGACCUACAUCCUGUAGG